rnacentral:rRNA from 1 species
CAGUAGCCACGGUAAUACGUAGGGUGCAAGCGUUAAUCGGAAUUACUGGGCGUAAAGCGUGCGCAGGCGGUUAUAUAAGACAGAUGUGAAAUCCCCGGGCUCAACCUGGGAACUGCAUUUGUGACUGUAUAGCUAGAGUACGGCAGAGGGGGAUGGAAUUCCGCGUGUAGCAGUGAAAUGCGUAGAUAUGCGGAGGAACACCGAUGGCGAAGGCAAUCCCCUGGGCCUGUACUGACGCUCAUGCACGAAAGCGUGGGGAGCAAACAGGAUUAGAUACCCCUGUAGUCCCUGUCUCUUAUAA